GUAGGUGAACCUGCGGAAGGAUCAUUAAAAAAUUGUUGUCCAUUCGUGACCAACUCUUUGUGCACCGUAAUUCGUUCUUGGCAGUUUAGUGGUUUUUUAGUUUUUCGAAAAUCCCACGUCUGGGGCUUUUUUAAAGUCUAAGGGACUGCCGAUGGCUAAAGCCCUUAACCCGGCGGAAAGCCAAAAAACAUAAACUCUAGUUUUUUUAAUUGUCUGAUUAUAUUAUUUAAUAAAUAAUAACAACUUUUGA
rnacentral:misc_RNA from 1 species